AUCUGAGAGAAAAAAAAGAGAAAUCACCCAAAUUAAAGCAAAUUAAUAAAUUCCGUUCAGAAAUACUGAAGAUGCUGUUCGGCUGAAUUGUGUGAUGGAACUAUUUCCAGUCUAUGCAGAUUUACUGUAUUGCAGCAAAAUAACUUUCCGACUCUUCUGCUGGCUGGACCGACACGCCCACCGCCCUCCAACCCGCCUCCCGAUUGGCCGGCUGGAUUCGGU